UUCUUUUGGUAAGGAUGAUCACCGGAACUUCUUGACAAGCAAUUCAGCAAUUUGAUAUUCAGUAACCAUCCAUCAUCAACCGCCCCUAUCAGUACUAGGAUUCGAAAUAUGAGUAACACGGACUUGAUUUCCUUUCUUCUACCAACAAAUUCGUGACAGCUGAUAAGAAAUCCGAAAACAACGACUUAAAAGGACACUCUUUUGCUCUAUUACUACUUCAUUCACUACACUUACACUGCCGAUGCUGCAGGAAAGAUUCAACUUUUUUUCUCAAUAUUCAGGAAGGUUAUAUCACAAUCACAAGAACCAUCUGACCAAAAUCAA